AACGCUAGCGGCAGGCUUAACACAUGCAAGUCGAGGGGUAACAGGAGUGCUUGCACUCGCUGACGACCGGCGCACGGGUGCGUAACGCGUAUAGAACCUACCUUUUACAGAGGGAUAGCCUUUAGAAAUGAAGAUUAAUACCUCAUAGUAUUGAGAAUUGGCAUCAAUUUUUAAUUAAAGAUUUAUCGGUAAAAGAUGGCUAUGCGUCCUAUUAGCUAGAUGGUAAGGUAAUGGCUUACCAAGACUACGAUAGGUAGGGGUCCUGAGAGGGAGAUCCCCCACACUGGUACUGAGACACGGACCAGACUUCUACGGGAGGCAGCAGUAAGGAAUAUUGGACAAUGGAGGAAACUCUGAUCCAGCCAUGCCGCGUGCAGGAAGAAUGCCUUAUGGGUUGUAAACUGCUUUUAUACAGGAAGAAAACUUGGUAUGUAUACCAAUUUGACGGUACUGUAAGAAUAAGGAUCGGC
rnacentral:rRNA from 1 species